AUUGAACGCUGGCGGCAGGCCUAACACAUGCAAGUCGAACGAGUGGCGGACGGGUGCGUAAUGUCUGGGAAACUGCCUGACGGAGCGGUAUAACGACUGGAAACGGUAGCUAAUCGCGCAUACCAUCGGAUGUGCCCAGAUGGGAUGAACUAGUAGGGGGGGUAAAGGCUCACCAAGGCGACGAUCCCUAGCUGGUCUGAGAGGAUGACCAGCCACACUGGAACUGAGACACGGUCCAUACUCCUACGGGAGGCAGCAGUGGGGACUAUGGUACAAUGGGCGCAAGCCUGAUGCAGCCAUGCCGCGUGUAUGAAGACGGCUUUCGGGUUGUAAAGUACUUUCAGCGGGGAGGCGGUACCCGCAGAAGAAGCACCGGCUAACUCCGUGCCAGCAGCGGCGGUAAUAC
rnacentral:rRNA from 1 species